GACGAACCGUCCAAACGUUAUUCGGAAUCACUGGGCUUACAGAGUUCGUAGGCGGUCUGGAAAGUUGGGUGUGAAAUCCCUCGGCCUAACCGAGGAACUGCGCUUGAAACUACCAGACUCGAGGGAGAUAGAGGAAAGCGGAACUGAUGGUGGAGCGGUGAAAUGCGUUGAUAUCAUCAGGAACACCGGUGGCGAAGGCGGCUCACUGGGGCUUUUCUGACGCUGAGGAACGAAAGCCAGGGGAGCGAACGGG
rnacentral:rRNA from 1 species